AUCCAACUGACGAUUCCCAAAUAGGACGAAAUGCACAUCCUUGAU
rnacentral:hammerhead_ribozyme from 1 species